CUAACCCAUAGCAAAGCAAAAUUGAAGAUGAGAUCUCCUUUAUGUCACAUUUACAUCUCCUAGAUAUAAAUGAGCACUAAUUGAGACCAAAGUGGUUUUCUCAUUCUUCUCAAAUGUCUCUCCUGAGAAUUAAGUCUCACAUUGAGCACAGUGCAAGUUCUCUAAAUUCUCUCACAGCUGUCUCUUUUCCUGAUCUCAACUAAGAGAAAAAUGAGACAUACAAUGCAGCUUUCAAAUAUGUCUCAAUUUGAUCUCAAUUAUAUCUCAGUGAGAAAUAUGUCUCGUACUGCUCACUAUUUGAGUUCUCAGAUUCUCUUACAGUUGUCUCUUUCUAGUGUUUCAGCAAAAAGAAAAAAUAGAGUAGUGUUAGCUCUCAAAUUAGUCUCAAUAUGAGACAUUAUUUAAUAUUAUAGCUCAAUCAUAUCUCAAUUUAUCUCAGCGCAAAAUUUAAGAAAAGAAGUAUAUCAAUUCAGGCAAAUAAUUUGAGAUGGUUUACAUAAUGUUCAACUUACAAAAGGUGUUUAUUUCUGACAAGCCAUACAAUUCAUUAAUUAGAAUUUUGAGUUCUAAAACGUAACCCAUCAAAACAUAAGCCAUGAUUUGCUCAAAAGACACCUUUGUGAACUUUCUAAAUGUUGACAAUUGUGCUGUUUUAAAAGAAUUCACAGCAAAGCUCUAUUGUAUAGAGCAGUAAAAGAGUGUGUAACACGUUACUCCAAGAAUCCUACCUCAUGUGUGAUGAAAGAGUCCGUUAUGACUAUUACUAUUAACGUUGCACGCGCGGGAGACGUGGUAGCGCCAAGACCCGCCCUACGAAGCAGCUCAUUGCAUGGCUCACGAUUGAUUAGACUUUUCACCUCGAGUGGUUAAGGUUAGGAUAGCGGAUUGGUCAGGGGAUAGGACCUGAACAAAUAAAAAUGUUGUUAUCUAGAAUACAGGGCUUUUAAAAAGAAUGUAAUAGUAUAAAGGAAAUAUAAUCUGUGGGUAUACUCCAGUCCAGCGGUGGCGGUAAUACAACAACAAGUUAUCAACCGCCAGAUAAAAAUAGAAGAAGAAGAAGAAGAAGAAGAUUGGAGGGCGGGUCUUGGCGCCAAUUCGUAAUUUCGUUGGGGUGAGAGAAGUGCGUCGGUAACUGCUGCUGCACCUGUUGGCUUUUGCCCCUGCCACGAAGAGGUAAGAAUGAAAUUCUUUUGACAUUAUCAUAAUAAUGGAAGGUGGGGAUUAGGUAAUUAGGUGUCUGUCCAACAAGUAAUUGACAAAGAAACUCCGAACUUUAUUCAGACUGUCGAAAAUGGGAUGGUUUGCUAAGUUAACGUUAGCUAACGGCUAAUGUUAACGUUAGCUAACGGCUAAUGUUAACGUUAGCUAACGGCUAAUGUUAACGUUAGCUAACGGCUAAUGUUAACGUUAGCUAACUGCUAUUGUUAACGUUAGCUAAUGGAUAACGUUAGCUAACAGCUAAAGUUAACGUUAGCUAACUUGUGUUAGCUAAAUGUUUUAAAUACAUUUAAAUUUGACUUUGUUGACUGGAUUUGCCCUCCUAUUUUUGCUGUACACUAGCUAUUUAUCUCUGAAAUUUCAGAUCUGCAAGUUCAUAAAUAUUGUAUCACGAGUCCGAAUGUUGUGAGCAGAUUUUCUGCAAAAGCUCACCCAAGAAUAGGGAUGCUAUCAUGGUUCAUGAUCUUUACAUUUUUUUAAUCUUGGUGGUUUUAUAGGUUUUAAAACAAUCAAUUAGGAAAAUGAUUUGAUUUGAUUUUUGCUCAUUUUAAUACCAUUAUUGUCUCAAAGAUAUGAAGUGAAUUUAGGUUAAAAUAGUGUCUAUUGAUGUUAUACUUAGCGUUAAUGAUCUAAAAUGUUUUUUUUUUCAUUAACCGGAUGGAGAAAAACAAAGUGCUGGCAAAAAAGAGGCUACGGGUUCCCACUCAGAAAAUUGAAGGACCUGAGCUCCCCUCCCCCAAAUGAGCAAUCUGAAAUUCAUUUCCAUCGGUGAAUCCAUCACCUGACGGGGGACAUGCAACAGGCCGCAACACAGCUGGACCACCACCCUAUGGAUACAGGCCGGGUCAGAGAGCUUCAGACUCUCUGCGACUUAAUUGGAGAGAGAUCUGGUGGCAGCCUAGCUUCACCAUCAAGCCAGCAGGAGCUGUUUCCUGGGAGCGGCCAAUUCAUCUCAUCAUUCCGCCUGGCUGCCAUGAAUCACGCAUCAAAACCAAAUUGCAUGCGUCUGUUUCAUGCACUUUUUGAUAAUUUCUUCACUGUUGAGGAGUGUCAAAAUGCAGUGCCCUUUGGUCACCCUGGAAACAACCCCUCAGGAAAGGAAGGAAAGCCGGUCCUUGACUGUAAAAAAGUUGACUGAAUCCUAAGUACGUUU
ensembl:lncRNA